rnacentral:misc_RNA from 1 species
GUAGGUGAACCUGCGGAAGGAUCAUUAAAAAAUGAAGGGCCCCGGGGGCCGUCUAAAAAACCCGUAGCCAGAAAGGCGUCACCCGGUUUUUUUUUCCGGGAGGCGCCCAACGGUGAACCCUCUGUGAAAACCCUUGUUGCUUCGGCAGCGCCUUCCCCUCUCGCCUCGCGGCGGGGGGGUAAGGGUCAGCCUGCCGGCGGCACACUUGAAAACCCUUCAUGCAAACUAGCAUUUAGAACGUCUGAGAGCG